rnacentral:tRNA from 1 species
UGGGGUGUGUCUCAGUGGUAGAGCACACGCUUAGCACAUGUGAGGCAUAGGGUUCAAUCCUCAGCACCACAU